AUUGAACGCUGGCGGCAGGCCUAACACAUGCAAGUCGAACGAGUGGCGGACGGGUGAGAAAUGUCUGGGAAACUGCCCGAUGGAGGGGGAUAACUACUGGAAACGGUAGCUAAUCCCGCAUACCAUCGGAUGUGCCCAGAUGGGAUUAGCUAGUAGGUGGGGUAAUGGCUCACCUAGGCGACGAUCCCUAGCUGGUGUGAGAGGAUGACCAGCGACACUGGAACUGAGACACGGUCCAGACUACUGCGGGAGGCAGCAGUGGGGAAGAUUGCACAAUGGGCGCAAGCCUGAUGCAGCCAUGCCGCGUGUAUGAAGAAGGCCUUCGGGUUGUAAAGUACUUUCAGCGAGGAGGCGUUACUCGCAGAAGAAGCACCGGCUAACUCCGUGCCAGCCGCCGCGGUAAUUC
rnacentral:rRNA from 1 species